UACGGAGGAUCCAAGCGUUAUCCGGAAUCAUUGGGUUUAAAGGGUCCGUAGGCGGGAUAGUAAGUCAGUGGUGAAAGCCUACAGCUUAACUGUAGAAUUGCCAUUGAUACUGCUAUUCUUGAGUAUAGUUGAGGUUGGCGGAAUGUGACAUGUAGCGGUGAAAUGCUUAGAUAUGUCACAGAACACCGAUAGCGAAGGCAGCUGACCAAACUAUCACUGACGCUGAGGUACGAAAGCGUGGGGAGCGAACAGG
rnacentral:rRNA from 1 species